AAAGUCGUAACAAGGUUUCCGUAGGUGAACCUGCGGAAGGAUCAUUAAAAAAGUACGUGCACGGCCGUCGUGGACCCUUCCGCGAUGUGUGCCGUAUGCCGAUACACCCGGGCCUACCUCUGCCAGCCUCCCUCGACGAGGGGGGUCGGACCACCGGAGGAAGGUUUCAUGUGUCCACCCAUUGUGAAACUCUUCCAUAUGCUUCGGCAGCACUUCGCGGGCAACUGCGGGGGUAAGGCUGCCAGAAGCCCAUCUCAAAACCAGUUGAUAAAAAAAUAUCAUGCCGUCUGAUAACCUUUUUUGAGAAAUCAAAUUUACAUUAAAACUUUCAGCAACGGAUCUCUUGGUUCUC
rnacentral:misc_RNA from 1 species